UACGGAGGGUGCAAGCGUUAUCCGGAUUCACUGGGUUUAAAGGGUGCGUAGGCGGGCAUGUAAGUCCGUGGUGAAAUCUCCGAGCUUAACUCGGAAACUGCCAUGGAUACUAUGUGUCUUGAAUGUUGUGGAGGCGAGCGGAAUAUGUCAUGUAGCGGUGAAAUGCUUAGAUAUGACAUAGAACACCAAUUGCGAAGGCAGCUCACUACACAAAUAUUGACGCUGAGGCACGAAAGCGUGGGGAUCAAACAGG
rnacentral:rRNA from 1 species